GAUGAAGAACGUAGCGAAAUGCGAUAAGUAAUGUGAAUUGCAGAAUUCAGUGAAUCAUCGAAUCUUUGAACGCAUAUUGCGCUCUCUGGUAUUCCGGAGAGCAUGCUUGUUUGAGUAUCAGUAAACACCUCAACUUUCCAUAUCUUUUUUGAAAUGGGAGUUGGACUUGAGUGAUCCCAACGCUUUUCCUCACCGAAAAGUGGCGGGUUACUUGAAAUGCAGGUGCAGCUGGACUUUUCUCUGAGCUCUAAGCAUAUCUAUUUAGUCUGCCUAAAAAACAGAUUAUUACCUUUGCUGCAGCUAACAUAAAGGAGAUUAGUUCUUGUGCUGACUGAUGCAGGAUUCACAAAGACAGGCUUCGGCCGACUUUGUAAACUCGAUCUCAAAUCAAGUAAGACUACCCGCUGAACUUAAGCAUAUCAAUAAGCGGAGGA
rnacentral:misc_RNA from 1 species